UAAUGGUUGGCUCCCAUCCACUUGUGCCUGGGUCACACCAGGAUCACAGCUCGUGGAAGCUGGAGGUGACCUCUAA
rnacentral:miRNA from 1 species